CACCGGCACUGGGGUGGGGGCUGCGCGCACAGGAAUCCCGGGCAGGCGGCAGUAGCAGCGGCGGCAGCCGGGACGCGCGGCUCCCCCUGCCUGCGCGGCGGCGGGAGGCGGGUGAGCAUCGAGGAGCAGCCGCCGCCUCAUCCUGCGGCAGCGGCCGGCGCUGCCCGGCGAGCGCAGGUGGCAGUGUAGAAGCCAAGAACAAAAAUUGGCAGAAAUUAUAUUCUGUAUACGAGAGAAUGAAGAGUAUACUCAUGACUAAGCACAGGAACCUGGAAAACCACAGGAUUCCUGGGAAGCCACGGAGGAUGGGGUGAACUCAGAGCUGGAGCAUGAGGAGUUUUUUGGAACUUGUGAAUGGGAAGUUAUCCUGGCUUUGGUCAGGUGAUCCACAGUGACCGGUCAGCCCACCAAGAAGAUACCUCAGCAACCAGGUGGUGUUGGACUAAUGCUGUGGAUCGUUCAGCCCAGACCUUGUAGUUGCCCAUCAAUCGCUCAGUAGUCAGUGUAGAUUCUGUCUUUACAAUCAGCAGCUACAUCUGGCUACUGGGUCUCUGAUGACAUCUCAUAUCUUCCAUCUAGACUGUUUGUUGGAUUUCUGUCUUCUCUCCUUGGUGCAGAGCAAGUUCACAGUGCUAACAAGUUAACGUCAGAGGUGUGGCCCCAAGUAAAGAAUUGGAUAUAUUGGAUGUUGGAUCUUCUUUACAGUGGGAAUCAGAUUAACUAUCUGGAUGUUUUAUAUUGGGAAGCAGAAAUAUUUUCUGUAGCCUGUUGUGGGGGCUGUAGUUUAACUGGUAUCUGUAAAUUGGAACUAUAAAAAUAAUCGGACUUUUUCACUGAAGAAUCUUCAGCCUACCCUAAUCAAAGGAUAGGUGUUGAAAAUGGUAUCUUGUCUGAUUGUGUGACUAUUGCAUAGUAGGGGAGGAAAUGUACUGUGAACUGCGGUGCGCACAGCUGCUGUUAAUCAGUUGUGUGGGAAGACUGUCCAGGUUUGGGGCAUGAACCUGGCAUACAAUGUAGAUUUCUGUGUUUGUUAAGCAACAGCUACAUUGUCUGCUGGGUUUCCAGCUGCCUGGAAAUACAAAGUGGAGGGUUGUCUACAAUUUUUUUUUUGUCAAGCUGCCUCUCUGCCAAUCUUAAAUAAGGAAAAUAAUGCAAUUGAGGUCUGUGGGCUCCCUCACUCCUUGUUCCAGCUCAGGUGAUCCAGCUGGUGUCUGCAGAGCUGGGAGCCAGGGUGAAUAUGAAGCUAGUUAGGAGGAAGGUGGUACAAGAGACUGAAGUGUUGCAGGCAUCAGAACUUGAGCAGCUCUCACGUGGAAGCUAAUGCAGGCUGUGUACAUAACCAUUACCUUGCCUUGGUGAUGGCCUUUUUCUUUAAAAAGUGUGUGUGCUAUACGGUUAGGAAAUCCUUUUGGAGAAGAGAGUCGUGGGAAACCAUGAUAGAUGCUUCUAUUCUAGAUCUGAUAAAUGUACUUUUAAAGAGGUGCUACAUAUAGUAUGGCUUAUAAACAAAGUGCCUAGAAAUAAAUGGGGAGGGAUAAGCUAAUGUCUUGAGUGUUGGCACCAGCUGGAUCUCUUAAGCUUCACCAAAACUAGGAUGUUUCACUUGUGCAUUAUAUUUAGCUGAGCAGUGACAAACCAGGCAGUUUCAGUUUGAGAAGAGGAGGCCUGGAAUAGCAGGAGACUGUCCAUUCAGACUUGAACUGCAGUCAUAGUAGUGAAUGGGGAAGCUUGUUCAGCUUGAGCUUGUACAACGUAUGGCUGUACUGCUAACUCUUCAGUGUUGGUAUCAUGUGUAUUUUGACCAUGGACAUUGGAAGAGCUGUGAUGGCCAAACAAUGAAGAAAAGUAUGGUUUGGUUAAGCCUGUGUUUUCUGACUUAUCUACAGGUUGUUAUAGAUCAGCAGGCAUCCAGAACUUUGUUUGAAUAGCAUACUUAAAGAAGCAGAAGGGUUCCUAAGUCCGCUCUACCAGAAGAGGAAUCAAUCCCUUCCAUUUUCAUCCCUGAAAAAUGCACUGAACUUCCACCCCUGCCAAAACGAGGGAUGUGCUCUUCACAUCGGUUUCAGAGCCAAUACAGAGCCCUGUCACAGCUCUCAAGCCAUGAUCUGGUUCUAGCCACCUCUGGACAAUCAGAAGUCUGGAUUGAAAGUGUGGGACCAUGGUGACUUCAAUUUGAAUGAGGCUGAGCUACUAUGGAAUGAAUAAUAGGUUGACAAAUACUUCUAAGAUCACUAAGUCCAACUGUCAGCCCAUCCUCACUGUGCCCUGGACUUCAGGAGGGCCAACUUUGACUUCUUCAAAGACCUACUUGGAGGUAUCCCAUGGGCUAGUGUUAGAAGAAAAGGUGCCAGAAGGCUGGAGGAUAGCCAGUGUCAUUCCAAGUCUUCAAAAAGGGCAAGGAGGAUCUGGGAAACUACAGGCCAGUGAGCUUCACCUCUGUCCCUGGAAAGGGGAUGGAAAAACUUGUUCUGGAUGCCAUCUCCAAGCAAUUGGAAGAGAAGUUAUCAGUAGUCAACAUGGAUUCACCAAGAGGAAAUCAUGCUUGACCAACCUGAUUGCCUUCUAUCAUGUCAUCACUCGCUGGGUAGAUUGGGGAGAGCAGUGGGUGUUGUGUACCUUGACUUCAGCAAGGCGUUUGACGCUGUCUCCCACAACAUCCUUGUUAUGAAAUUAAGAAAAUGUGGGAUAAAUGAGUGGAUGGUGAUGUAGAUUGAGAACUGUCUGACUGACAGAGCUCAGAGGCUUAUCAUCAGCAGUGCAGAGUCUGGUUGGAGACAUGUAACUAAUGGAGUUCCGCAGGGGUUGGUUCUGCAUCUGAUCUUUUUCAAAACUAUCAGCAACCUGGAUGAAGGGAUAGAGUCCACCCUCAGCAAGUUUGUUGAUAACACAAAGCUGAGAGGAUUGGCUGACACACCUGAAGGCUGUGAUACCAUUAAACAAGACCUGUACAGACUGGAGAGUUGGGCAGGGAGGAACCUGAUGAGGUUUAACAAGAGCUAGUGCAAGUCUUGCAGCUGGAGAGGAAUAACCACAUCAGUAUAAGAUAGAGGAUGACCUGCUGGAGAGGAGCUCUGCAGAGAAGGACCUGGGGGUCCUGGUGGACAAGUUUGGCCAUGAGCCACCAGUAUGCCUUUGUGGCCAAGAAGGGUGCAUUAAAAAGAGGUUGGCCAGAAGGCCGAGGAAGGUUAUCCUCCCCCUCUAUUCUGCACUGGGGAGGCUGUAUUUAGACCACUGUGUCCAGUUCUGGGCUCCCCAGUUCAGAAAAGACAAGAAUCUCCUAUCAGGAGUCCAGGAAAGGGCCACAAAGAUGUUACAGGGCCUGGAGCAUGUCCUGUAUGAAGAAAGGCUGAGUAACCUGUAUCUGUUCAGCCUGGGGAAAAGAAGAAUGAGAGGGAAUCUGAUAAAUGUUUAUAAAUAUCUAAGGCCAGGUUCUUCUCAGUGAUAUGCAGAGAUAGGACAAGGAGUAAUGGCCUAAAACUUGAACACAGGAAGUACUGUAUUUAUACAUGGAAGAACUUCUUUACAGUAAGGAUGAUGGAGCACUAGAACAGGCUGCCCAGAGAGACUGUGGAGUCUCCUUCUAUGGAGAUAUUCAAGACCCAUUUGGGCACCUACCUGUGUAACCUAUUGUAGGGUACCUGCUUUAGCAUGGGGGUUGUACUUGAUGAUUGCUUGAAGUCCCUUCCAAUCCCUGGGAUUCUCUUACUCUGUAAUUCUGUGCUUACUAACCAUGUCCCUCAGUGUCAUGUCCACAUGAUUCUUGAACACCUCCAGGGAUGAUGACUCCACCACCUCCCUGGGCAGCCUGUGCCACUGCCUCACUGCUCUUUUGGAGAAGAAAUAGCCCCUAAUAUCUAACCUGAACCUUCUCUGGUGCAACCUGAAGCUAUUCCCUCUCAUCUUCCUCUGUUACCUGGGAGAAGAGGCUGACCCUCACCUAACCACAUCCUUCUUUCAGGUGGCUGUAGAGAGUGAGAAGGUCUCCCCUGAGCCUCCUCUUCCCCAGACUGAACAAUCCCAGUUCCCUCAGCCACUUCCCAUAAGUUUGUGCACCCGACCCUUCAGAGCUCUGUUGCCCUUCUCUGAACACACUCCAGGGCCUCAAUGUCUUUUUUGUAAUGAGAUAGUACUGCAGGGGUGACAGCGAUUUCCAGAGACAAGCAGGCCCCAGCAUCUGCUGCAGAGGAUCUGCACAGAGAACCCUCCAAUGUUUUUCUAUCUCAUUUCCUUUUGUUUUGGAGCCCUUUUUGGACUUGGCAUUAAUCAUCAUGAAAAAAUAAAAAAAA
ensembl:lncRNA